AGUAGGGCCACUUGAAGACAUUUGCUAUUUCUGGGUUUCUAUUAUUAGAUACAAAACAAUAGUGGACAGUAAGAAGAAGACUGGGAGUGGUGCCAGCAGCUGGGUCUUUUUCUCAUCAAUGGAGGACCUCCUGGCUGAUGAUCCUAGUGUGGAACCAGUCUUGAUCGUGUCAUCUUUUGCUGGAUCUUCAUCAACUUCAGGACCAUCAACUUCAGGACCAUCAACUUCAGGACCAUCAACUUCAGGACCUAAGCCAUCAGCAGAACAUGGCAAAAAGAGAAAGCACAAGUCUGAAGCACCUGAGUGGUUUGAGCAGUAUGUCACUGAGCAGAGGAGGCAGAUGUCAGAGCUCAUGGCCCUGCAAAAGCAAGCAGUGGAAGUGUAUUUUCAGGGUGUCCUGCUUGACAGUCAUUGUCAUCGUUUCCAUCCACCUCUUCACAAUCCUCCAUUUGGUGGCCUUCCUCCCUCAAGAGGAAAUUGUGCAGAACACAUGCAGCUGUGAUAACUACUGGUACUUUUUCAAGGUCUUCCAUGGGCAAGUACUUCAGACGUCUCCAUUUCCCCUUUAGAAG
ensembl:lncRNA